CAGAAAAUAGUUUAAUGCAGAGCAUCAGCUUUGGGAGCUGGAGGCAGAGGUUUGAUCCCUCUUUUUCUGA
rnacentral:tRNA from 1 species